rnacentral:rRNA from 1 species
UACGUAGGCAGCGAGCGUUGUUCGGAAUUACUGGGCGUAAAGAGUGUGUAGGCGGUGCUCUAAGUUCGGUGUGAAAUCUCCCGGCUUAACUGGGAGGGUGCGCCGGAAACUGGAGUGCUCGAGCGUGGGAGAGGAAAGCGGAAUUCCUCGUGUAGCGGUGAAAUGCGUAGAUAUCAGGAGGAACACCUGCGGUGUAGACGGCUUUCUGGACCAUUGCUGACGCUGAGACACGAAAGCGUGGGUAGCAAACAGG